CAACCCUCAAGCCUCGCUUGGUAUUGGGCCGCGCCGCCUGGCCGGCCCCAAAGACAAUGGUGGCGCCCCCCGGCCCUCAGCGUAGUAACACAUCUCGCUGAAGGGACCGCGGCGGUGCCGACACCCUAAACACCUAA
rnacentral:misc_RNA from 1 species